AUAAGACUUUUGGAUCUCCCGCCCAAUAGUCGCAUAUGGAAUGUUGGCAAAACUGCACUAUUCGUUGGUGUUUACUUCAGUACUUCAGUUGCUGUUCCAAUGGUCAGUCUCGCAGUUACAUGCAGCUUGUAAAACACGAUUAAUCAAUGAAUAAUUAAAAGUGAAUGUUGUGUUGAUGUCAUGACAAGUGCAAUGAAGGAGGCAUCGAGCGGAGCAACCAUAAGUUCAACAUAGUUUUUUCGGCGUAGUCACAACUCCGCUGCUGCGCAUCGUAUGGUGAGCGAUGUACAUAUCA